CAGAGGGUGCAAGCGUUAAAUCGGAUUUACUGGGCGUAAAGCGCGCGUAGGUGGCUAAUUAAGUCAAAUGUGAAAUCCCCGAGCUUAACUUGGGAAUUGCAUUCGAUACUGGUUAGCUAGAGUAUGGGAGAGGAUGGUAGAAUUCCAGGUGUAGCGGUGAAAUGCGUAGAGAUCUGGAGGAAUACCGAUGGCGAAGGCAGCCAUCUGGCCUAAUACUGACACUGAGGUGCGAAAGCAUGGGGAGCAAACAGGAUU
rnacentral:rRNA from 1 species